rnacentral:rRNA from 1 species
UACGUAGGGGGCGAGCGUUGUCCGGAUUUAUUGGGCGUAAAGAGCGCGUAGGCGGAGCGUUAAGUCUGGCCUGAAAGCCCCCGGCUCAACCGGGGAAGGUGGCUGGAAACUGGCGUUCUUGAGGGCGACAGAGGAGAGUGGAAUUCCUGGUGUAGCGGUGAAAUGCGUAGAUAUCGGGAGGAACACCAGUGGCGAAGGCGAUCACCUGGGGUUGUUCUGACGCUGAGGAGCGAAAGCUAGGGGAGCAAACGGG